UGGGUAUCGUUUUUUAGAAAUUAGUUCCCGCUUGAAUAUUCUAAAUUUAUGUGUGGGUUUUGAGUUGAGUCAUUCUGGGUCAGGAUGAGUUUAGUUUUGAUGUAUAGAAACCUAAAAAUAUAUAACACUAAUUUUGAAAACAAAUAUCAAUGUAUAAAAAUGUAAGAAUCAAUAUCCGCACGGAUGCGCAUAUCAAUCACUAGUUAAUUACUUAUUUAACAAGU
rnacentral:lncRNA from 1 species